AUCGAAACCCGAGGGUGCAGAGGGGGAUCGGAGAGAUCCGUUCCUCCGAAGCCCUUCGUUUUUACUCUUUGACACACCCGCGUGCACCCCAUUCGCAAGGGUCCCUUCGGGACCUGUGCGUUUCGUCUCCGACUCGCAUGUCUACAGAAUGUCGAUAGCAUUUGAUAUAUAUAUAAAAAUACAACUUUCAGCAACGGAUCUCUUGGCUCUCGCAUCGAUGAAGAACGCAGCGAAUCGCGAUAAGUAAUGUGAAUUGCAGAUUUUCCGUGAAUCAUCGAAUCUUUGAACGCACCUUGCGCUCCUUGGUAUUCCGAGGAGCAUGCCUGUUUGAGUGUCAUCGAAAUCUCAAACCAAGCCUUCUUUUUUUGACUUCGGUCGAGGGCUCGGGUUUGGAUCGUUGGGAGUCUGCGGGCGACGCACGUCGUCGGCUCUCCUGAAAUGCAUUACCGGUGGGCAUGCAAGUCUUGCUUGGCACCAGCCUCUCCCGGCGUCAUAAUGAUCGUCGCGGGCUUGCCAGCUGCAAGGGACGUGUCCCAUGCUUCUCCAACUUUGCGAGCCCCCCCGAAACCUCCUCCUCUGGGCGCUUCGGCAUCCAAAGGUUGGACUUCAAAUC
rnacentral:sRNA from 1 species